GACGAACGCUGGCGGCGCGCCUAACACAUGCAAGUCGAACGAGCGAGAGAGAGCUUGCUUUCUCGAGCGAGUGGCGAACGGGUGAGUAACGCGUGAGGAACCUGCCUCAAAGAGGGGGACAACAGUUGGAAACGACUGCUAAUACCGCAUAAGCCCACGACCCGGCAUCGGGUAGAGGGAAAAGGAGCAAUCCGCUUUGAGAUGGCCUCGCGUCCGAUUAGCUAGUUGGUGAGGUAACGGCCCACCAAGGCGACGAUCGGUAGCCUGACUGAGAGGUUGAACGGCCACAGUGGGACUGAGACACGGCCCAGACUCCUACGGGAGGCAGCAGUGGGGAAUAUUGCACAAUGGGGGAAACCCUGAUGCAGCGACGCCGCGUGGAGGAAGAAGGUCUUCGGAUUGUAAACUCCUGUUGUUGAGGAAGAUAAUGACGGUACUCAACAAGGAAGUGACGGCUAACUACGUG
rnacentral:rRNA from 1 species